rnacentral:rRNA from 1 species
UACGGGGGGGGCAAGCGUUGUUCGGAAUUACUGGGCGUAAAGGGCUCGUAGGCGGCCAACUAAGUCAGACGUGAAAUCCCCCGGCUUAACCUGGGAACUGCGUCUGAUACUGGAUGGCUAGAGAUUGGGAGAGGGAUGCGGAAUUCCAGGUGUAGCGGUGAAAUGCGUAGAUAUCUGGAGGAACACCGGUGGCGAAGGCGGCAUCCUGGACCGGUAUUGACGCUGAGGCGCGAAAGCCAGGGGAGCAAACAGG